UUCGCAAUGCCCGAAAGGGUGACGAAGCGACGCCGCGUGCGGGAAGAAGGCCUUCGGGUUGUAAACCGCUGUCGGGAGUUAGGAAGUGCAAGGAUGUUAAUAGCGUCUUUGCUUGACUAAGGCUCCGGAGGAAGCCACGGCUAACUCUGUGCCAGCAGCCGCGGUAAUACAGAGGCGGCAAGCGUUGUUCGGAAUUAUUGGGCGUAAAGAGCACGUAGGCGGCCGUGUAAGUCGGUUGUGAAAGCCUUCCGCUCAACGGGAGAACGGCAUCCGAUACUGCAUGGCUCGAGUGCGGGAGGGGAGAGUGGAACUUCUGGUGGAGCGGUGAAAUGCGUAGAUAUCAGAAGGAACACCGGCGGCGAAGGCGACUCUCUGGCCCGUAACUGACGCUGAGUGUGCGAAAGCUAGGGGAGCAAACGGGAUUAGAUACCCCGGUAGUCCUAGCCGUAAACGAUGGGCACUAAGUAGAGGGGUUUU
rnacentral:rRNA from 1 species